UACGUAGGGUGCAAGCGUUGUCCGGAAUUAUUGGGCGUAAAGAGCUCGUAGGCGGUUUGUCGCGUCCGCUGUGAAAACCCGAGGCUCAACCUCGGGCCUGCAGUGGGUACGGGCAGACUAGAGUGCGGUAGGGGAGAUUGGAAUUCCUGGUGUAGCGGUGGAAUGCGCAGAUAUCAGGAGGAACACCGAUGGCGAAGGCAGAUCUCUGGGCCGUAACUGACGCUGAGGAGCGAAAGCGUGGGGAGCGAACAGG
rnacentral:rRNA from 1 species